rnacentral:rRNA from 1 species
UUAGAGUUUGAUCAUGGCUCAGGAUGAACGCUAGCGACAGGCCUAACACAUGCAAGUCGAGGGGCAGCACGUCUUCGGAUGGUGGCGACCGGCGCACGGGUGAGUAACACGUAUGCAACCUACCUGUAAGAGGGGAAUAACCCGGAGAAAUUCGGACUAAUACCGCAUAAUACCUUUUUCCCGCAUGGGAGAAAGGUUAAACAUUUAUGGCUUACAGAUGGGCAUGCGUAACAUUAGAUAGUUGGUGAGGUAACGGCUCACCAAGUCAACGAUGUUUAGGGGUUCUGAGAGGAAGGUCCCCCACACUGGUACUGAGACACGGACCAGACUCCUACGGGAGGCAGCAGUGAGGAAUAUUGGUCAAUGGGCGAGAGCCUGAACCAGCCAAGUCGCGUGAAGGAUGAAGGUUCUAUGGAUUGUAAACUUCUUUUAUAAGGGAAUAAAAAACGGCACGUGUGCUGUAUUGUAUGUACUUUAUGAAUAAGGAUCGGCUAACUCCGUGCCAGCAGCCGCGGUAAUACGGAGGAUCCAAGCGUUAUCCGGAUUUAUUGGGUUUAAAGGGUGCGUAGGCGGACCCGUCAGUCAGUGGUGAAAGUUUGCGGCUCAACCGUAAAAUUGCCAUUGAAACUGCGGGUCUUGAGUGUAAAUGAGGUAGGCGGAAUGUGUUGUGUAGCGGUGAAAUGCUUAGAUAUAACACAGAACACCAAUUGCGGAAGGCAGCUUACUGGGAUACAACUGACGCUGAGGCACGAAAGCGUGGGGAUCAAACAGGAUUAGAUACCCUGGUAGUCCACGCAGUAAACGAUGAAUACUAGCUGUAUGCGAUAUACUGUAUGUGGCAAAGCGAAAGCGUUAAGUAUUCCACCUGGGGAGUACGUUCGCAAGAAUGAAACUCAAAGGAAUUGACGGGGGCCCGCACAAGCGGAGGAACAUGUGGUUUAAUUCGAUGAUACGCGAGGAACCUUACCCGGGCUUGAAAUGCAGACGACCGACCAGGAAACUGGUCUUCCAGCAAUGGCGUCUGUGUAGGUGCUGCAUGGUUGUCGUCAGCUCGUGCCGUGAGGUGUCGGCCUAAGUGCCAUAACGAGCGCAACCCCUAUCAUUAGUUACUAACAGGUUAUGCUGAGGACUCUAGUGAGACUGCCACCGUAAGGUGUGAGGAAGGUGGGGAUGACGUCAAAUCAGCACGGCCCUUACGUCCGGGGCGACACACGUGUUACAAUGGGGGGGUACAGAGGGUUGCUACUUGGUGACAAGAUGCUAAUCUCUUAAAGCCUCUCUCAGUUCGGAUCGAAGUCUGCAACUCGACUUCGUGAAGCUGGAUUCGCUAGUAAUCGCGCAUCAGCCAUGGCGCGGUGAAUACGUUCCCGGGCCUUGUACACACCGCCCGUCAAGCCAUGGAAGCCGGGGGGACCUGAAGUACGUAACCGCAAGGAGCGUCCUAGGGUAAAACUGGUAACUAGGGCUAAGUCGUAACAAGGUA